rnacentral:rRNA from 1 species
UACAGAGGGUGCAAGCGUUGUUCGGAAUUAUUGGGCGUAAAGGGCGCGUAGGCGGUGCGGUAAGUCUGUAGUGAAAUCUCUGGGCUCAACUCAGAGUCUGCUGCAGAAACUGCCGUGCUUGAGUGUGGGAGAGGUGAGUGGAAUUCCCGGUGUAGCGGUGAAAUUCGCAGAUAUUAGGAAGAACACCGGUGGCGAAGGCGACCAACUGGACCGAUAUUGACGCUGAGGCACGAAAGCGUGGGUAGCAAACAGG